rnacentral:tRNA from 1 species
GUGGGUGUAGCUCAGUAGUAGAGCGUCCGCCUGUGGAGCGGAAGGCCGCGGGGGCAGAACCCGUCAUCCACCCA